GGAGUUGUGACUCAGCAGUAGAGCGCUCACCUAGCAUGUUGGAGGCCCUGGGUUCAAUUCUCAGCACCA
rnacentral:tRNA from 1 species